UACGUAGGUGGCAAGCGUUGUCCGGAAUGACUGGGUGUAAAGGGAGCGUAGGCGGGUAAUCAAGUCAGGCGUUAAAUCUAUCGGCUCAACCGGUAGCCGCGCUUGAAACUGAAUAUCUUGAGUGGAGUAGAGGCAGGCGGAAUUCCUAGUGUAGCGGUGAAAUGCGUAGAUAUUAGGAGGAACACCAGUGGCGAAGGCGGCCUGCUGGGCUUUUACUGACGCUGAGGCUCGAAAGCAUGGGUAGCAAACA
rnacentral:rRNA from 1 species